UUUAACUCUCUUUUUCUUUAGAUUCGAGCACUACAUCAUAUGUAAAAUCUGAACCUUUUUAUAAUUCGAUUUAAUGAUAUUUAAAAUUAUGUUACCGUACCUAUUUGUCUAGAUUAAGUAAUAUAAGGAAUUUAAUUUUAUUAUUGUUUAUGUGCCAUGUGGAUUCGUCCAAAGAGCUUACUUAACAAACUCUACUGGAAACACCUCGACAUAUGCUCGAAGCCCUAGCCUUAGGGCGGAACAUAUGCGUUACUGUUCAAGGGCCCAUAUCCAUUUGCGGAAGCUUCAUCGUCCGAAUCUCGCCGCGUGCUGGAACUGUGAACAAGUUCAAAGUUUAUGCAUGGACAUUUAACAAAAGGAACAAGACAUGAAUUGUUUUGACUA
rnacentral:lncRNA from 1 species